rnacentral:lncRNA from 1 species
CCAGCCCGUUCCCCCCCCCCGCCCCGGCGCAGCACCCGCGCGCAGCCUCAGCUCCCCCUGCACCCGGGGUCCGGGGCGCAGAGCGAGGCUGCUGCUGCUCCCACCGGUGGGGCCCUGCACCCGGCACCGGGGACCAGCAGCUUUGCCCUAAUUCUGACUUCCUCUCUCGGCAGCUACCUCGCUAGGGUAGGGGAGGGCACGCGAAGCCAAAGGUUCGCUCCUCCCUGCUCCCCCGUCCUGCCCCUCUGCAAUAACGUUUGCUCUCCGGCCCCCCCGAGCCACCAGCAGCCCUGGCUGAGCCAUCUCGGCUCGCACCCUCGCGCAGGACGCGGCGCGCAGCCCGCAGAGAGGCCCCUGGCCGCGCUGCUCCGCUCCUUCGCCCGCUACAGCCGCACACAACGAGCCACCACCACGCUGGAGCGCGCGGGGCACCGCGCGAAGCCUCGCACGCAGCAUGCCGCAGCGAGCCGAGCGCCGCUGCCGCCACCUCAAACGCCGAGAGCACCGCCGCGCUCCUGCCGCGUACCUGGGAGCAAGGCUUGCGCCUCCUCCUCCUCCACGCCUCUGCCAACACGCCACGUCCAGAGCACGCAGACCCCUGGCACCAGCACGCUGCCUGGCUCCAGACCUCCCCGAGCAGCUCCCCGGCGCAGCCAGCGACAACCGCCUGCUCCUGUCCCCACAGCAAGCGCCCUCGGGGCGGGAGGUUUCGCACCGCCACGCACCCACCCUGCCGUGCCCCGAGGGCUCUGGCGUCUCAUCCCUCUGCGGCCCUGGAGCGCCGGGGCCACCACGGCCCCGCUCUGGGGCACCCUACAGCACCUGACUCGACAGCUUUCUCGACAUAACGCAGCCCUAGACGGCGGCCUCGGGCCCAGGAGCCACCGCCGCCAAGCAGCCCUGCAGAACAGCCGCCUCCGCCUCCCCUCGAGGGGACUCGCCUGCCUCCGGCGAGCGCCUCCGGCCCCUCAGCCCAGCUCCCUCCUCGAGGGGAGCGCGGAGGCGCCCUGCCUGUCCCGACCGUACCACUCCGAUCCUGCAUCGCAGCCCAACAUCGCGGCCCUGCAAUGCCGAGGCCGGGGGGAGCAGAGCACACAGAGCCCGGCGCCGGCCCACGUGGGCUACGGCUGGAGAAACCCUGCAGCCACAGGAGCCUCGUCCCCACCACGGGAAGAGGGGCUCCGGGUUGCACGGAGCAGGCAGAACAGGCUCUCUGUGCACGGCUCCCCCCAAAAAAACAGGCGGCACUGA